ensembl:snoRNA
GCUGCUUCUAGAAGCUUUGCAGGUAUGGCGGUUGUGUCACCUGUGCAUCAGGAGGUGACAGAGAGAAGAGAGGCUAUGUCUAUGCUCAGUAUUUGGAUACAAGCACAUCUGAAAAAUUACUAGCCUAAUAUU